GAGGCCUUAGCUUAAAGGUGAAAAGCGUAUGAGUUGCAAUCAUUGGAUGUGCGGUAUGUGCAGGCCUU
rnacentral:tRNA from 1 species